AACGAACGCUGGCGGCAGGCCUAACACAUGCAAGUCGAACGCCCUCUUCGGAGGGAGUGGCAGACGGGUGAGUAACGCGUGGGAAUCUACCUAGAAGUUUGGGAUAACUAUUAGAAAUAGUAGCUAAUACCGAAUACACCCCGAGGGGGAAAGUUGACUUUUAGUCUUCGCUUUUAGAUGAGCCCAUGUUAAAUUAGUUAGUUGGUGGGAUAACAGCCUACCAAGACGAUGAUUUAUAGCUGGUCUUAGAGGAUGAUCAGCCACACUGGAAUUGAGAUACGGUUCAGACUCCUACGGGAGGCAGCAGUGGGGGAAUAUUGGACAAUGGGGCGCAAGCCUGAUCCAGUCAUGCCACGUGAGUGAUGAAGGUCUUAGGAUCGUAAAACUCUUUUAGCAGGGAAAUAAUGAUGGUACCUGCAGAAAAAGUCUCGGCUAACUUCGUGCCAGCAGCCGCGGUAAU
rnacentral:rRNA from 1 species